AGUAAGAACACAGUACCUGGAGUUAGACUUCUGGGACUGAGCCCAAAUCCAACACUUACAAAUACUGUCCAAAUCAUUGCACUGAUAUAUAACUCAGCAUUCUCAUCAAACACUGGAAACUUAUAGUGUCUUUGAGCUAUGGGUGACACCUCGUUGGGAACAGAAUGGCUGUAAUGUAGAUAAAAACAAAGCGAGGCUAUUUGAUUGUGGGGAACACUGAGAAGACAAAAAUCUGUCCAUCGACUCUUCAGGUCCCAACACAGUCAUCCCUUCUCUGCAGCACGAUGCCAAACUGACUUUAGUGCUUGAGUUUAUGGUACUGGGAAGAAAUGUCUGUUAGAGUUUAAGGAAGACUACAAUCUGUGGGACAGAGGAGAAGGAACCCAGUGUCCUUCCAGCACCCUAGAAGUUACUCGUCUGAUGACACCAUCUCCAGGGAGCAGAGAUCAUUCAGGGAAAGUGAUAGGGCUCAGGAGGGUGUCUGUGAGAGCAUUUGUUGAGGGGAAGGAGAAAGAAAUACAUUAGACAGUGAAAGGUCGUAGAGCUCAGCUUCAUCAGUCUUCUCAUUGUCACCCCUCUUUCUGUCACGGUCUUACUUCUGCUCAUUCUCUUCAAUGAGUACAAUUAUGUCUUCAAAAAUAUUCAAGUUACUCAACCUAAGAUGGUGACUGCUCACGCUUUCAUAUUACUUUGAUCUUUCUGUCUCCCCUUGGUGUGUAUUCUUACACACACAGAGAUGCGCAUAUGUGUGCACACAUAUACAUUGGUCUUACUCAUUGAAGACAUAGAUUAAUGAGAUGUUUGUACAUUGUUUUGGCAAUUUAUUUGCCUAACACAGUGUCGCAAGCAGUGCUAUUAUUGCCCCUAUGUCACAGAGAGGGAAUUUCUGUCAUGGAAGACAGCUAAGUUAAUCAAUAAUAGCACAAAUCCUAAUAAGUGGAAGAGCUUGUUUUCAGCCCUUGAUCCCAUAUUCCAUUUGUUCUAACACAUCAGUCUGCCUUUGACAUCAUGUUUCCUGAUUAUCAAGGUCCUAGUUCAAAUCUUUAUUUCCCUAUGAUGUCUUUCUAAAAGCAUCAAUCUGCAUGAUUAUUCGCUUUGAAGUAUAGUACAAUAAUAGUGAUAACUGUAGAAGUGAAAUAUUUGGCAGGUCUUUUGCAGUGGAUAGUGUGAUAAACAUAACCAUAGAAGCUAUAAACUUUUAUUUUAAAAAUGUUUACUGAACAUUAGCCAUGGAAAAUGUGCUAUUGUAAUGUACCCAUUUUAUCUUUUGACUAAUCCAAUUAUAUAUUUUAUUCAAUGAACUAAUUUAGAAAGCAGAGCAUAUAUUUUCUCUUUACUCCUGUAGUAUCCAGUAAAUCUUUUUCCCUGCAGUGGCUAGACACAUAGUAUGUGUGCGAUUAAAUCCAACUACAUGAGUCAUAACAAGUUAAAUAUAAGUCAUUAGCUAUGUUGGUGCCUUCUGUUGUUGUUUUUAUGGUUACUGAGUCUCAAUUUCAAAAUGUUUGUAUUUCUCAACGGCUUAGACAAUUCCAAACCUUUGAAACUCCCAGGAUUCUGAUCGAUAAGCAUGUGUGCCAGCAUUUAAGGGAGGCUGAAGCAGCCUAAUGUGAAGAAUAAUUUCUAGCUCAAUUUUUUCUACUGCUAAUGUUGCAUGUUGAGCCAAAAUAUGAACAGCAUUCCACCAGCCAUAUUGUCAUAUGUUAUAAAACUGAGAACUGCAUCAACAAGGUAAUCUAAUAGGUGUUUCUGAGAGAGGAAAAAUGUGCAUAAUCAUUUUCUAAAGGGGAAGGAGAAAUGGCAUCCAAUCAGGCAGCAGUCAAUACUGGGAAAAGAAAGUCCAACUCAAAUGAAUCUGGGCUCCUUACUGCGACAGCUGUCACCCUCUUAGCUGCCUUCCUGUGCAUCGGCUGCAUAUGCUGUAAUCUGGAAGACAUGAAUUCUAGUUACCACCCUGAUGUGUCUAUGCUGCAUGAAAAUGAAGUUACAAAUUGAAGGUAAUUAUAAAAUCCUCCUGGAAGAAGUUGCUGUUAACAUGAGUUGACAGAUUUAAUUUUUUGUUACAUUUAAAUGAUUCAAGUUGAAGAAAGUUUCGUGUUCUUACAUGAGAACUUAUAGAUAGCAAGCUAUUUUCAAUGUUGGAAGGGAAAUAAGAAUCCUAACCCUAUUUUGGCAUUGCUUAAACCUUAAGUGUAUUCUGAGAAAGGUUAAAAGCAAACCCUGAAUCAUUUUCCCCAGAACUUUAUGCAAAUCAUUACAGAGGUGGUAGAGAGGGAAAAUUUCAUUAUCAGUGGUGGUUCUGAAUGCUUGCAUGGACCAUGAGAUGGAACUAAAUCAAAAGAAAAUAGUACAACAGAUGCAAGAGCCAUUCCUGUAAAGUGGGGCCUAAACCAGAUGGGCUUGAUAGACAGUAAGAGAAAUUAAUUUUUCCAUUUGGAAAUUUUCCUUCUUCAUAUAGUGCUCUAACAUUUUCAUAUAGUGCUUACCAAUAUCUGCAGCCUGAAACAUAUUGAAGAACAAGUUAUGAGAAAGCUUAAGAAUAUUUAUACUGCUGGGUAUGGUAGUGCAGGCCUGUAAUUCCAGCACUUGGGAAGCUGAGGCAGGAGGAUGGCUGAGUAUUCAAGACCAGUCUGUACUACAUAAAGAGUUCAAGGCCAAUUGGAACCAAACAGUGUCACUCUGUCUCAAAAAACAAAAAAGCAGGAAAAGAAUAUGUAUGUUAUUAAGAGCUGGUUUCAAAUUUAUAUUACAUACUAGCAGAGGCAUCUUAGCAAUGGUGAACUUAAAUAAGUGAAAAUUCAUAGGGAAAAGCAGUAUUUUAAAAAGUGACUGCCUAUCAUAGCACUUUCAGAACCAGACUAGAGCUUUCCAUGCUCUACAUAGAGACUGGAAAUUCCAAUUAAAUAUGAAAAGAAGAGAUAUUUAUAGAUUUUGUUCUCCAAAGUAAAAAAAAAAAAAAAAAAAAAAAAAAAAAAAAAAAACUGAAAAAUUGAAUGGUACAAAUAGACUCAUGAUGAGAGUUGGCUGAUGUCAGAGAAGAUGUCAUCAAAGCACACAAUCAGAAAACAGAUCCUAAGAAGGUUCACUAAGCACUCACAGUUGGAAUUAAAUAUCACAAAAACAAAUGUAUUAUAUGGAACCCAGCUUCAACACAUUCAAAUCACAGAAGAAAGAAACAGAAAAGUGAAAUAAAUUUGAUAAGUAUGAGGGAUGCCAUCUGAUGUCAUCUUGCAAAAGACAGUACUCCUAACAAGAAUAAGCCAAAGAAAAAGGAAUCAUCAAUGUGACAGAAGAUCUAAUACACUGAAUGAUAGAAGAUGUCAAUUGAAGACGGAAAGGAGUCAAUGUAUGCCAAGUAAAAUUAAGUCAAGAUUUGCAAACAUAACCUGAUACGGUUCCUAUCUAACCUUGUGUGCUCAUAGGUGGGACUUUUCAGAGGACGCUGAAUCUAGGGGGUGUGAUGCUGGGAUUUAGAGUGUGUGUUAAAUGGAUUGGCUUAACCUAGUUCUAGGUGGAAAGUGGAUGUGUGUGGAACCACUCCAAAGGCUUGUAGCCUAGAUGGGAUAAAAGGAAAAAGGAGACUUGCAACUGCUCCUGGCUGGUCGCUGCUCCCUACCCACCCUGACAUGGACCACUUCUCCUUUGCAAUGCCCUUCUGACAGGUUGCCCUGCCAGAGAGUCAGUAAACUGUUAACUGAGCCCAAAUAAAUCAUUGCUCCUUUAA